GCACAAAACCAUUAUGUAAAUCAAUCUAAAAUAAUAUCACUAUAUUGUUUCAUGUAAUAGGUGGUAAAUGCAAAUCCUUGAUCCUAAUUCCAAGCCUAGGGAUAAAAUUAAAAAGAUAAGAAGCUAAACCAUUGAGCCAAUAGGUACAUAUGCAGCCUAGAAUAAAAUAGCAAUUUUGCUACAAAAAUCCACGUAGUCAACAUGGUGACAAGUAACAUUUAAAAACUAGAUGUGAAAAUCCUCCAGGCUCAAAAUUAAAAGCUUAAUUGCAUGUUAUCAUAAGCUUCAGGAUUCUGUUCAGAUGUGAAUAUCCUUCAAGCUCAAAAUAUGUACACUCUUGUUUUGCACUUAAUGACGUGUUAUCAUAAACACAUUUAAACUAUAACAAAGUUCAUCCCUUGAUGUAAAUGUGAAUAGAUCUAUCACCAAUUUUUAGUGGACAUGAUAAUGUUUAUAAAAAAAUUAAAAAUAAAAUCAGAGAGAAUGUUAAGCUAGAAAAAUGAACGCUUCAACUUGAAGAAGAGUAAGCUGGAAAAAUCUUAUCCAUGUUGUCGCGAGCAUCAAAGUUGCCAUGGUCAAAGUCGUCGGCUUCCAUUUCAUCGAUGUCUCCAUAAAGCGAUUGCCUCGCUUCAACUGGAAAAGAUGGGGAUAAAUUUAUCAGACUCGUCGAAGGGUUAAAAUUGGCAUCAACGUUGCCGACGUCAACGUUGUCGGAGUCAACAUCUCCAACGUAGUGGAAUGAAAGGGCGGGAGGUUCCAUUCAUGUUGAGAGGAGAGGGUUAACAAAUGGGCCUGAAGAAUUAUAGGGGUAGGGUAGGGUUAAAGCUUAAAAUGGC
rnacentral:lncRNA from 1 species